CCCUCACGUGACCAGCCGCCUCAGUCACUCACUCCGGGUCCUUGCGCCAUAAUCCCCUCCCUCCCCUUCAGAACCGCACCCAACAGCUUGGCGCAGGCCCCGCCCCUUCCCAUCUGCGGGGCGGCAGGAGGAGGCCUGGGCAGGAUGGCAGUGAACCAGAGCCACACCGAGAGCCGUCGUGGGGCCCUCAUCCCCUCUGGCGAAAGUGUCUUGAAGCAGUGUGAGGAUGUGGACCUCUGCUUCCUGCAGAAACCAGUGGAAUCCUAUCUCUUUAAUGGCACAAAGAAAGGAACGUUGUUUCUCACUUCAUACCGGGUGGUCUUCGUGACUUCACACUUAGUCAAUGACACCAUGCUUUCUUUUAUGAUGCCGUUUGGCCUGAUGAGUGACUGCACCAUUGAACAACCAAUUUUUGCCCCCAACUACAUUAAAGGAACCAUUCAGGCAGCUCCAGGUGGUGGCUGGGAAGGACAAGCUGUUUUUAAGUUAUCCUUCAGGAAAGGAGGUGCCAUUGAAUUUGCCCAACUGAUGGUAAAAGCUGCCUCUGCUGCUGCCAGAGGAAUUCCACUUGGAAGUGUAAAUUACUGGUUCGACACUUCAGGACUGUACAUAAUUACUGUCCCAGGGGCUGCGGUGUGCUCCUCACAGACACCUUGUCCAGCAUAUCCAAUUGUGAUCUAUGGACCCCCACCACCAGGAUAUAGAGCCCAACCAGGGGAAUAUGGAACUCCACCAGAAGGAUAUGGAGCCCAACCAGGGGGAUAUGGAGCCCCACCUAUGGGAUAUGGAGUCCCACCUGGGGGAUAUGGAGCCCCACCUGGGGGAUAUGGAGCCCCACCUGUGGGAUAUGGAGUCCCACCUGGGGGAUAUGGAGCCCCACCUGGGGGAUAUGGAGCCCCUCCUGGGGGAUAUGGAGCCCCACCUGGGGGAUAUGGAGCCCCUCCUGGGGGAUAUGGAGCCCCACCUGCGGGAUAUGGAGCCCCACCAGCUGGAAAUGAAGCCCUACCCCCGGCAUAUGAAGCUCCAUCUGCUGGAAAUACAGCUGCCUUUCAUGGGUCUGUGGCAGCUCAGCAGGAGACUUCUCUUCCCUCCACCUCAUCUUCUUAGGUCCAUUUACCACCUUCUCAGAGUUAAAUCUUGAAGAUUCACCAAGCAAAGGGCACCCUAAAACUGAAGUCACAGUAAGAAGGAAGACUCAGGUGCCAGGUGGUAGGAGGUGUUUGUGUGCACACAGUGGCCUGAUCUUCUCUACACACCUGUGAGGUCCUGUGCCUCAAAACAUAGAUGAAGGUGAGAAGACGACUCCUGUUCUCAAGGAAGGAAGAUGCUUGAAAACAGACUGCAAGCCAACUAGAGGGAGAGAGAUGUGAAGUGGC